rnacentral:rRNA from 1 species
AUUUUGGACAAUGGGCGAAAGCCUGAUCCAGCAAUGCCGCGUGCAGGAUGAAGGCNUUNNGGUUGNANACUGCUUUUGUACAGNNNNNAAAAGAGCUACGUGUAGCUUAUUGACGGUACUGUAAGAAUAAGGAUCGGCUAACUCCGUGCCAGCAGCCGCGGUAAUACGGAGGAUCCAAGCGUUAUCCGGAAUCAUUGGGUUUAAAGGGUCCGUAGGCGGCCUUAUAAGUCAGCGGUGAAAGUUUUUGGCUUAACCAAAAAAUUGCCGUUGAUACUGUAGGGCUUGAAUUUUUGUGAAGUAACCAGAAUAUGUAGUGUAGCGGUGAAAUGCUUAGAUAUUACAUGGAAUACCAAUUGCGAAGGCAGGUUACUAACAAACGAUUGACGCUGAUGGACGAAAGCGUGGGUAGCGAACA